UGGGACGUGGAGUAAUGGCAGCUCACUGCACUUUGAAUGCAGAAGGUCCUGGUUCGAGUCCAGGCGUCCCAG
rnacentral:tRNA from 1 species